UACGUAGGUCCCGAGCGUUGUCCGGAUUUAUUGGGUGUAAAGGGAGCGUAGACGGCGGCGCAAGUCUGGAGUGAAAGCCCGUGGCCCAACCACGGGACUGCUCUGGAAACUGCGCGGCUGGAGUGCGGGAGGGGCAGGCGGAAUUCCUAGUGUAGCGGUGAAAUGCGUAGAUAUUAGGAGGAACACCGGCGGCGAAGGCGGCCUGCUGGACCGUGACUGACGUUGAGGCUCGAAAGCGUGGGGAGCAAACAGG
rnacentral:rRNA from 1 species